GAUGAACGCUGGCGGCGUGCCUAACACAUGCAAGUCGAACGGUGUCACGCCUUUAAGAUCUUCGGGUCAAAGCGGGGAAGACUGAGUGGCAGAGGGGUGAGUAACACUGGGGAAACCUCGCUCAUAGAGGGGGAUGACAGAGAGAAAGAUCUGCAAAUACCGCAUAAGCACACACUGCCGAUUGGAGGAGGGUGAAAGGAGAAUCGCUGUGAGAUGGACCCGCGUCUGAUUAGCCAGUUGGCAGGGUAAGAGCCUACCAAAGCGACGAUCAGUAGCCGAGCUGGGAGGAUGAACCGCCAAAUUGGGAAUGGGGCACCGGCCCAGACUCCACGGGAGGGAGCAGGGGGGGAUAUUGCUAAAUGGGGGGAAACCUGAUGGAGCGACGGCGCGUGAGUGAAGAAGUAUUUCGGUAUGUAAAGAUCUAUCAGCAGGGAAGAUAAUGACAGUACCUGAAGAAGAAGCCCCGGCUAACUACGUG
rnacentral:rRNA from 1 species